rnacentral:rRNA from 1 species
AUUGAACGCUGGCGGCAUGCCUUACACAUGCAAGUCGAACGGUAACAGGUCUUCGGAUGCUGACGAGUGGCGAACGGGUGAGUAAUGCAUCGGAACGUGCCCAGUCGCGGGGGAUAACUGCUCGAAAGAGCAGCUAAUACCGCAUACGACCUGAGGGUGAAAGCGGGGGACCGUAAGGCCUCGCGCGAUUGGAGCGGCCGAUGUCAGAUUAGCUAGUUGGUGGGGUAAAGGCCUACCAAGGCAACGAUCUGUAGUUGGUCUGAGAGGACGACCAGCCACACUGGGACUGAGACACGGCCCAGACUCCUACGGGAUGCAGCAGUGGGGAAUUUUGGACAAUGGGCGCAAGCCUGAUCCAGCAAUGCCGCGUGCAGGAAGAAGGCCUUCGGGUUGUAAACUGCUUUUGUCAGGGAAGAAAUCCUCUGGGUUAAUACCUCGGGGGGAUGACGGUACCUGAAGAAUAAGCACCGGCUAACUACGUGCCAGCAGCCGCAGUAAUAC